GUCACAAAAAAUACAUGUAUGCCGGCACAUAAUGGUAUAAAGUAUUUAAUUUCUUCAGCAAUAAAAUAUUUCUAACUAUUUUUUUAUUUUUUUAUCAAAUAUUUUGAACUUUAUUGAAAAAAUUACUUAUGGAUUUAAAGAACAGAAAGUUUUGAGCUGUGUUAUGGUACGAGAUUGUAUCGUGUCAAUAUUUUGUUGGUACGAUAGGGCAUAGUGGAUACGGCUCGUUCCGAUAGACAUUUAAAUCCUUGCUGGUAGCACUAUUUAUAAGAAUAAAAUACAUUCUUUCGAUGAUGAAUUUAGCUAGACAACAAUCUUCUUUAUUGCGGAAUUAGUUUCCUAACUAUUAAUACCAUUAAUUAAUUUGGUAUUAGCAAACUCUUCAGUAGAAUCAUAAUGUUGAAAACUUCUAGAAAUUGAGGUAUGGACCGUUGAUUCGGAAGCUCUAUCAUCGAAAACGACUUAUGAGUAUAAGGACGAUAGUACUCAUAAGAGUAUAGUAGCCGGACUAUAUAUAUAUAUAUAUAUAUAUAGAGAGAGAGAGAGAGAGAGAGAGAGAGAGAAUCCGGCUACUAUACUUUUAUGAGUAUAGAUUUCUUUGUACUCAUAAAUUUUCGACCGUUAGAUCUACUCCUUUGAUCAUUUCCACCCGUUAGAUCUACCCUUUUUGAAAAAAAUAACUUACUUUUAAUUGGUCAAAUGAUAUUUUCAGAAUUUUAUUAGGCUAAUUAGCUCUCUUUUUGCCGACUCAGUGCCAUACCAGGUAAAGUAAGAAAAAUAAUAAAUCAUUCACCGUCUUUAAAAAACGGUGAAUCAUGAAAGGACAGGCUAGAGGGUUGUCGAGUACAUGAUUUCAAACCCACAUAACACACGGGCGCAACGAAAACAGAAUCUUUCGUAAAUGAUAAUAGAUGAGAAUGAUCGUAAAAUAUAAGUACGAAAAUGACAAAGCAAUAAAAUGAAUAAGAGAAUAUGAAAACAUAGAAUUUAUGUGGAAAACAUGUUCCCUAUACAAAUAAUGAAAGUUGAGUAUGUACGGCGCCCUCCCCGCGUUUCGCGGGGGCUUCCGCGCUCGCGAGGAAGAGAGAAAGAGAGAGAGAGAGGAGAGAGAGCAGACAGAGAGAGAGGGGGAAAGAGAGGGAGAGAGAGCAGACAGAGAGAGAGAGAGAGAUAGAGAGAGAGCAGACAGAGAGAGAGAGAGAGAGAGAGAGAGAGGUAGAGAGAGAGAGAGAGGG
rnacentral:lncRNA from 1 species